GUCGAACGAACUCUGGUAUUGAUUGGUGCUUGCAUCAUGAUUUACAUUUGAGUGAGUGGCGAACUGGUGAGUAACACGUGGGAAACCUGCCCAGAAGCGGGGGAUAACACCUGGAAACAGAUGCUAAUACCGCAUAACAACUUGGACCGCAUGGUCCGAGUUUGAAAGAUGGCUUCGGCUAUCACUUUUGGAUGGUCCCGCGGCGUAUUAGCUAGAUGGUGGGGUAACGGCUCACCAUGGCAAUGAUACGUAGCCGACCUGAGAGGGUAAUCGGCCACAUUGGGACUGAGACACGGCCCAAACUCCUACGGGAGGCAGCAGUAGGGAAUCUUCCACAAUGGACGAAAGUCUGAUGGAGCAACGCCGCGUGAGUGAAGAAGGGUUUCGGCUCGUAAAACUCUGUUGUUAAAGAAGAACAUAUCUGAGAGUAACUGUUCAGGUAUUGACGGUAUUUAACCAGAAAGCCACGGCUAACUACGUGCCAGCAGCCGCGGUAAUACGUAGGUGGCAAGCGUUGUCCGGAUUUAUUGGGCGUAAAGCGAGCGCAGGCGGUUUUUUAAGUCUGAUGUGAAAGCCUUCGGCUCAACCGAAGAAGUGCAUCGGAAACUGGGAAACUUGAGUGCAGAAGAGGACAGUGGAACUCCAUGUGUAGCGGUGAAAUGCGUAGAUAUAUGGAAGAACACCAGUGGCGAAGGCGGCUGUCUGGUCUGUAACUGACGCUGAGGCUCGAAAGUAUGGGUAGCAAACAGGAUUAGAUACCCUGGUAGUCCAUACCGUAAACGAUGAAUGCUAAGUGUUGGAGGGUUUCCGCCCUUCAGUGCUGCAGCUAACGCAUUAAGCAUUCCGCCUGGGGAGUACGGCCGCAAGGCUGAAACUCAAAGGAAUUGACGGGGGCCCGCACAAGCGGUGGAGCAUGUGGUUUAAUUCGAAGCUACGCGAAGAACCUUACCAGGUCUUGACAUACUAUGCAAAUCUAAGAGAUUAGACGUUCCCUUCGGGGACAUGGAUACAGGUGGUGCAUGGUUGUCGUCAGCUCGUGUCGUGAGAUGUUGGGUUAAGUCCCGCAACGAGCGCAACCCUUAUUAUCAGUUGCCAGCAUUAAGUUGGGCACUCUGGUGAGACUGCCGGUGACAAACCGGAGGAAGGUGGGGAUGACGUCAAAUCAUCAUGCCCCUUAUGACCUGGGCUACACACGUGCUACAAUGGAUGGUACAACGAGUUGCGAACUCGCGAGAGUAAGCUAAUCUCUUAAAGCCAUUCUCAGUUCGGAUUGUAGGCUGCAACUCGCCUACAUGAAGUCGGAAUCGCUAGUAAUCGCGGAUCAGCAUGCCGCGGUGAAUACGUUCCCGGGCCUUGUACACACCGCCCGUCACACCAUGAGAGUUUGUAACACCCAAAGUCGGUGGGGUAACCUU
rnacentral:rRNA from 2 species